UUUCCGUAGGUGAACCUGCGAAAGGAUCAUUAUUGUAUAACCGAGGUGCGAGGGCUGUCGCUGACCCGAAAGGUCGUGCACGCCCGAGUGCCCUCACACACAUCCAUCUCACCCCUAUGUGCACCACCGCGUGGGUCCCCCUUUGGCUUGUUCGGAGGGGGGCUUACGUUUUCACACAAACUUUGUAUGCAGUGUAGAAUGUAUUUUUUGUUUUUGCGAUCACGCAAUCAAUACAACUUUCAACAACGGAUCUCUUGGCUCUCGCAUCAAUGAAGAACGCAGC
rnacentral:misc_RNA from 1 species